GGCAGCAGUAGGGAAUAUUGCGCAAUGGACGGAAGUCUGACGCAGCGACGCCGCGUGAGCGAUGAAGGUCUUCGGAUCGUAAAGCUCUGUCCUUGGGG
rnacentral:rRNA from 1 species